rnacentral:pre_miRNA from 1 species
ACUGGGGGGGAGGGGCCCUCAGCCUGGAUUGUGAGAGGGCACAGGCCAGGCUGAGGCACCCCCACUGGUGCACG